ACUCCGUUCGACUUCUGGUUGAGGUCACCAGGCUUUCACCCUGGGCAGGCCGGGUUCAAAUCCCGCACGGAGUACCA
rnacentral:tRNA from 3 species